AACCUGCUAGGAGGCGUGUAUGCCCUAAAGUGAUCAGGAACUCAGGUGGUGCAUGGCUGUCGUCAGCUCGUGUCGUGAGAUGUUGGGUUAAGUCCCGCAACGAGCGCAACCUUUGUCCGUAGUUGUUACGCAAGGGCACUUUAGGGAGACUGCCGGUGACAAACCGGAGGAAGGUGGGGAUGACGUCAAGUCCUCAUGGCCCUUAUGGGUAGGGCUUCACACGUCAUACAAUGGCCGGUACAGAGGGUUGCCAAGCCGCGAGGCGGAGCCAAUCCCAGAAAGCCGGUCGUAGUCCGGAUUGCAGUCUGCAACUCGACUGCAUGAAGUCGGAAUCGCUAGUAAUCGCGGAUCAGCAUGUCGCGGUGAAUACGUUCCCGGGUCUUGUACACACCGCCCGUCACACCAUGGGAGUGGGGUGCACCAGAAGUAGGUAGGCUAACCGCAGGGGGGCCGCCUACCACGGUACGCU
rnacentral:rRNA from 1 species